CAUGGCUCAGAUUGAACGCUGGCGGAAUGCUUUACACAUGCAAGUCGAGCGGCAGCGCGGGGCAACCUGGCGGCGAGCGGCGAACGGGUGAGUAAUACAUCGGAACGUGCCCAGACGUGGGGGAUAGCCCGGCGAAAGCCGGAUUAAUACCGCAUGAGAUCUGAGGAUGAAAGCAGGGGACCUUCGGGCCUUGCGCGUUUGGAGCGGCCGAUGGCAGAUUAGGUAGUUGGUGAGGUAAAGGCUUACCAAGCCUGCGAUCUGUAGCUGGUCUGAGAGGAUGAUCAGCCACACUGGGACUGAGACACGGCCCAGACUCCUACGG
rnacentral:rRNA from 1 species